UACGUAGGGUGCGAGCGUUGUCCGGAAUUAUUGGGCGUAAAGGGCUCGUAGGCGGUUUGUUACGUCGGGAGUGAAAACCCAGGGCUCAACCCUGGGCCUGCUUCCGAUACGGGCAGACUAGAGGUAUGCAGGGGAGACUGGAAUUCCUGGUGUAGCGGUGGAAUGCGCAGAUAUCAGGAGGAACACCGGUGGCGAAGGCGGGUCUCUGGGCAGUAACUGACGCUGAGGAGCGAAAGCGUGGGGAGCGAACAGG
rnacentral:rRNA from 1 species